CAAUAGCGUAUAUUAAAGUUGUUGCAGUUAAAAAGCUCGUAGUUGGAUUUCUGGUGGGAGCGAUCGGUCUGGCGCUUAGCGCGAGUACUUGCAUCGUCUCCGGCCAUCCUUGGGGAGAGUCUGUCUGGCAUUAAGUUGUCGGGCAGAGGAUCCUCAUCGUUUACUGUGAAAAAAUUAGAGUGUUCAAAGCAGGCUUAUGCCGUUGAAUAUAUUAGCAUGGAAUAAUAAGAUAGGACUUUGGUACUAUUUUGUUGGUUUGCGCACCAAAGUAAUGAUUAAUAGGGACAGUUGGGGGUAUUCGUAUUCCGUUGUCAGAGGUGAAAUUCUUGGAUUUACGGAAGACGAACUACUGCGAAAGCAUUUACCAAGGAUGUUUUCUUUAA
rnacentral:rRNA from 1 species